rnacentral:lncRNA from 1 species
UCUUUCUCUCUCUCUCUCUAUAUAUAUAUAUAAUUAUAUAUAUGUAUGUAUGUAUAUGUAUGCAUGCAUAUAUGUAUGCAUGUAUGUGUGUGUGUUAUAGGUGUGUAUGUGCGUAUGUAUGUAUGUAUAUAUAUAUAAUUCGUAAUUCUAUUUUUGAUUGAUAAUAUGCAUCAAAUUAUUUUACUUUUUUUUUGGGUAUAGAAUGGACGGGUAUGG